rnacentral:misc_RNA from 1 species
GAUGAUGAACGUAGCGAAAUGCGAUAAGUAAUGUGAAUUGCAGAAUUCAGUGAAUCAUCGAGUCUUUGAACGCACAUUGCGCCCCCUGGUAUUCCGGGGGGCAUGCCUGUCCGAGCGUCAUUGCUGCCCUCAAGCACGGCUUGUGUGUUGGGCCUCCGUCCUCCUCCCGGGGGACGGGCCCGAAAGGCAGCGGCGGCACCGCGUCCGGUCCUCGAGCGUAUGGGGCUUCGUCACCCGCUCUUGUAGGCCCGGCCGGCGCUUGCCGACACAUCAAUCUUUUUUCCAGGCUGACCUCGGAUCAGGUAGGGAUACCCGCUGAACUUAAGCAUAUCAAUAAGCGGAGGA